CGAUAAGGACGGCAAGAACGCUAGGAAAGCAAGAACGCUAGGAACGACGAGAACAGGAAAAACGCUAGGGACAGCAAGAACGCUAGGAACGACGAGAACAGGGAGAACGACAAGGACGGCAAGAACGCUAGGAAAGCAAGAACGCUAGGAACGACGAGAACAGGAAGAACGAUAAGGACGGCAAGAACGCUAGGAAAGCAAGAACGCUAGGAACGACGAGAACAGGAAAAACGCUAGGAACAGCAAGAACGCUAGGAACGGCAAGAACGCUAGGAACGACGAGAACAGGAAAAANNNNNNNNNNNNNNNNNNNNGCGUUCUUGCUGUCCCUAGCGUUUUUCCUGUUCUCGUCGUUCCUAGCGUUCUCGUGCUGUUCCUAGCGUUCUCGUGCUGUUCCUAGCGUUCUUGCUGUUCCUAGCGUUCUUGCUGUUCCUAGCGUUCCGUGCUGUUCCUAGCGCUUCUUUUUCCUGUUAGAUGUCUUGCUGUCCCUAGCGUUUUUCCUGUUCUCGUCGUUCCUAGCGUUCUUGCCGUCCCUAAAUCGGUUGCUCGUGUUUUACUAG
rnacentral:lncRNA from 1 species